ACGUCUCUUACCUCGCUCGAUCUGCAUCUCUUCCCUAUUGCCUGAUCUUGAGCUGGAUGCUGUGAUGGCGGCGGUCCUUGACUGGAUCGCUAGUAUCACACGCAUGAGACAAGAACAAACCCACCUUUUGUUUUGGUUGCCGAUCUUUGAGUACGAUUCCAUCUUUCCCCUCUGGGUGCGUGGUGGGCGUUGUAAUUUAUACGGCAGGACAU
rnacentral:snoRNA from 1 species